rnacentral:rRNA from 1 species
CCCSCGGAGYUWUUGCCUUCAGUAGCGGCGAGUGAAGCGGCAAAAGCUCAAAUUUGAAAUCUGGCGUCUUUGGCGUCCGAGUUGUAAUUUGAAGAAGGUAUCUUUGGGCCCGGCUCUUGUCUAUGUUCCUUGGAACAGGACGUCACAGAGGGUGAGAAUCCCGUGCGAUGAGAUGACCCGGGUCUGUGUAAAGUUCCUUCGACGAGUCGAGUUGUUUGGGAAUGCAGCUCUAAGUGGGUGGUAAAUUCCAUCUAAAGCUAAAUAUUGGCGAGAGACCGAUAGCGAACAAGUACAGUGAUGGAAAGAUGAAAAGAACUUUGAAAAGAGAGUGAAAAAGUACGUGAAAUUGUUGAAAGGGAAGGGCUUGAGAUCAGACUUGGUAUUUUGCAUGYUGCUCUCUCGGGGGCGGCCGCUGCGGUUUACCGGGCCAGCAUCGGUUUGGAGCGGCAGGAUAAUGGCGGAGGAAUGUGGCACGGCUUCUGCUGUGUGUUAUAGCCUCUGACGAURCUGCCAGCCUAGACCGAGGACUGCGGUUUUUWCCYARGAAGGUGGSMWWAWGGWUCUAARUCSSCCCKUCUGGAACMMSGACCCAA